ACCUCCAGCACCUUGGCGAUAUAGGGGAUCAGGGGCAGGUUCAGGAUCAGCAGAACCAGAUUACCGAUGUACAUCGAGAUGAUGACCGCCCAAAAGAUUUGUGGAUCGUCCAGCAUCAGGCGCGGCCC
rnacentral:ncRNA from 1 species